rnacentral:rRNA from 1 species
AGCCUGCCCAGUGACCCACCCCGUUCAACGGCCGCGGUACCCUAACCGUGCAAAGGUAGCGUAAUCACUUGUCUUCUAAAUAAAGACUAGUAUGAAAGGCGCCACGAGGAUUAAACUGUCUCCCUUUUCUAAUCAGUGAACCUAAUCUCCCCGUGAAGAAGCGGGGAUUAAUAUAUAAGACGAGAAGACCCUGUGGAGCUUAAAACAUUAUAACACCUGCUGCUUCUCCCCUUACCAUUUUACCAGCACAAUGAUUAUGUGUUUUCGGUUGGGGUGACCACGGAGGAAAAACUAUCCCCCACAAUGAAGGGCCCCCCCAUAAACAACAAGCCACAGCUUUAAGUAUUAAUAAAUUGACAUCCUUGACCCAAUAUAUUGACUAAUGAACCAAGUUACCCCAGGGAUAACAGCGCAAUCCGCUUCAAGAGCUCAUAUCGACAAGCGGGCUUACGACCUCGAUGUUGGAUCAGGGUAUCCUAGUGGUGCAACCACUACUGAAGGU